rnacentral:rRNA from 1 species
CCAGACUCCUACGGGAGGCAGCAGUGGGGAAUAUUGGGCAAUGGGCGCAAGCCUGACCCAGCAAUGCCGCGUGAAGGAAGAAGGCCCUCGGGUUGUAAACUUCUUUUAUCAGGGACGAAGGAUGUGACGGUACCUGAUGAAUAAGCUCCGGCUAACUACGUGCCAGCAGCCGCGGUAAUACGUAGGGAGCAAGCGUUAUCCGGAUUUACUGGGUGUAAAGGGCGCGUAGGCGGGAUGGCAAGUCAGAUGUGAAAUCCGGGGGCUCAACCCCUGAACUGCAUUUGAAACUGUCGUUCUUGAGUACUGGAGAGGGUGACGGAAUUCCUAGGGGAGCGGGGAAAUGCGUAGAUAUUAGGAGGAACACCAGUGGCGAAGGCGGUCAACUGGACAGCAACUGACGCUGAGGCGCGAAAGCGUGGGGAGCAAACAGGAUUAGAUACCCUGGUAC